rnacentral:rRNA from 1 species
CGGGGUGAGGAAUACAUCGGAAUCUACUUUUUUCGUGGGGGAUAACGUAGGGAAACUUACGCUAAUACCGCAUACGACCUACGGGUGAAAGCAGGGGACCUUCGGGCCUUGCGCGAUUGAAUGAGCCGAUGUCGGAUUAUCUAGUUGGCGGGGUAAAGGCCCACCAAGGCGACAAUCCGUAGCUGGUCUGAGAGGAUGAUCACCCACACUGGAACUGAGACACGGUCCAGACUCCUACGGGAGGCAGCAGUGGGGAAUAUUGGACAAUGGGCGCAAGCCUGAUCCAGCCAUACCGCGUGGGUGAAAAAGGCCUUCGGGUUGUAAAGCCCUUUUGUUGGGAAAGAAAUCCAGCCGGUUAAUACCUGGUUGGGAUGACGGUACCCAAAGAAUAAGCACCGGCUAACUUCGUGCCAGCAGCCGCGGUAAUACGAAGGGUGCAAGCGUUACUCGGAAUUACUGGGCGUAAAGCGUGCGUAGGUGGUCGUUUAAGUCUGUUGUGAAAGCCCUGGGCUCAACCUGGGAACUGCAGUGGAAACUGGACGACUAGAGUGUGGUAGAGGGUAGCGGAAUUCCUGGUGUAGCAGUGAAAUGCGUAGAGAUCAGGAGGAACAUCCAUGGCGAAGGCAGCUACCUGGACCAACACUGACACUGAGGCACGAAAGCGUGGGGAGCAAACAGGAUUAGAUACCCUGGUAGUCCACGCCCUAAACGAUGCGAACUGGAUGUUGGGUGCAAUUUGGCACGCAGUAUCGAAGCUAACGCGUUAAGUUCGCCGCCUGGGGAGUACGGUCGCAAGACUGAAACUCAAAGGAAUUGACGGGGGCCCGCACAAGCGGUGGAGUAUGUGGUUUAAUUCGAUGCAACGCGAAGAACCUUACCUGGCCUUGACAUGUCGAGAACUUUCCAGAGAUGGAUUGGUGCCUUCGGGAACUCG